rnacentral:rRNA from 1 species
UGGGGAAUAUUGGGCAAUGGGCGGAAGCCUGACCCAGCAACGCCGCGUGAAGGAAGAAGGCUUUCGGGUUGUAAACUUCUUUUCUCAGGGACGAAGCAAGUGACGGUACCUGAGGAAUAAGCCACGGCUAACUACGUGCCAGCAGCCGCGGUAAUACGUAGGUGGCAAGCGUUAUCCGGAUUUACUGGGUGUAAAGGGCGUGUAGGCGGGACUGCAAGUCAGAUGUGAAAACCACGGGCUCAACCUGUGGCCUGCAUUUGAAACUGUAGUUCUUGAGUACUGGAGAGGCAGAUGGAAUUCCUAGUGUAGCGGUGAAAUGCGUAGAUAUUAGGAGGAACACCAGUGGCGAAGGCGGUCUGCUGGACAGCAACUGACGCUGAGGCGCGAAAGCGUGGGGAGCAAACAGGAUUAGAUACCC